rnacentral:rRNA from 1 species
GGAGGAAAAGAAACUNACCAGGAUUNCCCUAAUAACGGCGAAGUGAAGCGGGAAGAGCACAAAUUUUAAAUCUACCUGGUUUUACUGGGUCGAGUUGUAAUUUGAAGAAACGUUUUUAAUGUUCCGGGUUGGUUUAAAUCCUUUGGGAUAAGGUAUCAUGGAGGGUGAGAAUCCCGUGUAUAUCAACCGCUGGGAUGUUAUUAAUACGUUCUCUAAGAGUCGAGUUGUUUGGGAAUGCAGCUCUAAAUGGGUGGUAAAUUUCACCUAAUGCUAAAUAUAAGCGAGAGACCGAUAGCGAACAAGUACCGUGAGGGAAAGAUGAAAAGAACUUUGAAAAGAGAGUUAAAUAGUACGUGAAAUUGUUGAAAGGGAAACGAUUGAAGUCAGUCAUGCCGGCGAGAAUCAAUUUUGGGGAAGGGGGAUUUUUUUGAACCUAACCUUGAAGUGCACUUCUUYGCUUGGCAGGUUAGCGUCGAUUUUGAACGUCAUAAAAUGAUUGGGGGAAGGUAGCUCUUUCNGGAGUGUUAUAGCCCUUAAUUAAUGUGAUGUUUGGGAUCGAGGAUUGCAACGGAUACCUUUUAGGCUAGCCGCCUGGCCUCUGAUUCGAUGUCGGGUUAUAGACAGCACGCUGACUAUGAUUUGAUUAUUGGUCAAAAGGUUAGAGCGAGCAUAAAUUCGUAAGGACGCUGACGUA